CGCCAGGUCAGCUUCAUCUUCUGAGCUGCUGCGAGGCCUGACCGUCUGGUACUUGUCGGGCAAAAGCAUGUCUUCUUCAUCGGACACUUCGUACCUGCGAGAGAAGCAAGAGCAAGGAAGGCCCUGUCCUGACUCGCCUCCAGAUGCACUAUUUCGUCAUCAGACGCACUACUUCGUCAUUCCCUUGGACGGCUGCUAUUGGCUGAUAGCUGGCAUCAAGCUGCAGUCGGCUACACGGCGUGGAUACCACGGCCGCCAUGGGGUGCCGCCACGAGUCCACAGGCUAAGCACGCUGAUGCUCGCUGAGGAGAACUGCAUUUGGCUUACGUUUAGUAGUGCGUCGUAGGCAUCGAAGGCUGAAGUUGUGGCAUCCACGUUAACGUCCAAAAUGAAAUUUGAA